rnacentral:lncRNA from 1 species
GUAGGGAAGCCCUAAAAUUCCGCAUAUAAACACUCUUUAGUUAUAAUAUCCAGCAACGAUUGUUCAAGUAUUAAAACUUUUUAAUAUAAUGAGCUUACUUCAGCCCAGUUAACUGGGCAAGCACACUACAUGUAAUUGUAAAUUAAAAGUCAUCUCGCUCAGCUGUCCGGUCCAUGUAAUCGGCCCCUUAUUGAAAUAUAUAAGGUCCAGGCCUCAUUUAAGGUUAAGUAAUCAUUUUAAUUGGUUAAAAAGUGAUGGCGUUAAUAAUACUUUGAUUUGAAAUAAUAGGAAUGAAUUUCACAGUCUAAUACUGGUAAACAUGCAUCAUUGGUAGUAAAAGCCUCACUUGCAUUAGUUCGAAGGGCAAACCUGCAUUUACAAAAAUUUGAAAAUAGUGUAAGCAUUGCUAUGAUCAAUCAUUGGAUAAAAAUAUGAUAAAUACCCCACCUUUUUAACCUAAUCAAAUCAUUUUCUAACUUGUAAAGAAGGCCUGAACCUUAUAUAAAUAAUAUCCAGCAUUGGGCGGCCAGGUCUACCAUAAAAUGAAAUGAAGUAAAAACUCCGUAUCUGGCCAGAUGUGAUAUCCAUUGCAUCCCUAGUUAUUUGUUAUCAAUAAAUGUUUCUUUGUUUUAAAAUGCCAAGUUUACAACUUUACUUAAUUACUUGUUAAGGAGAGAGUGUUGGAUAUACGUCUAUGAGAUGACUGUAUAUUCUUGGUAUUCAAUUUUCUUAUUUAAUCAAAUAUAUGCACCAUUUGUACCCUUUUAUAGCUAACCCUCAGAUGUAUAAUGGCUUCCCUUCCACAUGCACUGGGAGACAGACAGACCCACCACAACAACAAGACAAACCCACCACAACAAGACAGGC